GCGUAUCAAGAUCAUAAGGACGGUCACGAUAAUCAAUUUUGAGGCAUUGCAAACACAGGUGGACGGAGUUCCAUAUUCUAGUCCAUGAAAUUCGAAAGCCAAAUUCCAGUAAUAGGUAAAGGAAGAAGACUAGAACCUACUGCGUAACUUUUGUGAGCAAGAAAUAAACGUACAAAACUUUCUAGUUCCUUCUAUGAACUUUAAAGAGGGAAAAUCCUUAAAAAAAGAUUUUCGAGUGAAGACAAAA
rnacentral:lncRNA from 1 species